rnacentral:RNase_P_RNA from 1 species
GGCUCUGGUCGAGCGGUCGCCUUCCUGGACACUUUGUGGAAAGGUAGGAGGAAAGUCCGGACACUAGGGGACAAUCGGACCGAGUAACACUCGGGAUACGGGAGGGUGACUUCCCGUAUACGGAAAGUGCAACAGAAAAAAAACCGCCUUCCUCACUACAUGAGGAAUUGGUAAGGGUGAAAUGGUGGAGUAAAAGCCCACCGCUCUAACUGUAAAGUUUGAGGCAAGGUAAACCCUCCGAUGUGCAAUCUCAAGUAAGCAACCGUUAUGAGUCGUCCCGCCAGGUUGUGGGUAGAGAGCAUCAGAUAGAUGAUCGCAUAGAACAGAAUCCGGCUUACGGACCAGGGCCACUU